rnacentral:tRNA from 1 species
GGGCCUGUAGCUCAGGUGGUUAGAGCAGGGGACUCAUAAUCCCUUGGUCCCUGGUUCGAAUCCAGGCGGGCCCA